GAACGCUGGCGGCGUGGAUUAGGCAUGCAAGUCGAACGGUAGGAUACCUUCGGGUAUCUGAGAGUGGCGAACGGGUGAGUAACACGUAGGUGAUCUACCCUCAAGAUUGGGACAACCCAGGGAAACUUGGGCUAAUACCGGAUGAAAGCAGCAGUGAUGUUGUUUGAAAGGUGGCGUAAGCUGCCGUUUGGGGAUGAGCCUGCGCUCUAUUAGUUAGUUGGCGGGGUAAAGGCCCACCAAGGCGAUGAUAGAUAGGCGGCCUUAACGGGUGGUCGCCCACACUGGGAUUGAGAUACGGCCCAGACUCCUACGGGAGGCAGCAGUCGAGAAUAGUCUACAAUGGCCGAAAGGCUGAUAGUGCGACGGGGGCCGCGUGAACGGAGAAGCCCUUCGGGGUGUAAAGUUCUUUUAUAUGUGAGCAGUACUUUCUAUGUGAACAGCAUGGGGAGAGAGAUAUUAGCAUAUGAAUAAGCAACGGCUAACUCCGUG
rnacentral:rRNA from 1 species